UACGAAGGGGGCUAGCGUUGCUCGGAAUCACUGGGCGUAAAGGGUGCGUAGGCGGGUCUUUUAAGUCAGGGGUGAAAUCCUGGAGCUCAACUCCAGAACUGCCUUUGAUACUGAGGAUCUUGAGUUCGGGAGAGGUGAGUGGAACUGCGAGUGUAGAGGUGAAAUUCGUAGAUAUUCGCAAGAACACCAGUGGCGAAGGCGGCUCACUGGCCCGAUACUGACGCUGAGGCACGAAAGCGUGGGGAGCAAACA
rnacentral:rRNA from 1 species